AUUAUAAGCAGAAAUUGCAGUAGGUAGUUUCGAUACCCAGCCGCCUUUUAUAAAAGAAAGGUCUCAAUGUGCGGGGGGCUCAUUUGUUGCUCGGACGUAAACGAGUAAGGUGGUUGGUAUCGAGGCCGCAUACUGUGAGUUCGUUCUAUGUUAUUUUUAUUCGGUGGUUUCUGUGUAAUAGUUUUAAGGUUAACGGUUGUUUUUAAAAUACCCAAAGUCGUGUUGUUUUGAUUGUAUAAGAUUAAUUUUAAGAUAGAUUUAGUGUGAUUUCGAAUAUACCGUGUUUUGUUCUUUGAUAAAGUUAUUUUUGGUUAAAUCACUUCUUACGUUAUUUCGAAUUGUUUUCCUUUAUUUGAUUAUUACUCCUGAUUGCUAAAAUCAGAAGUGGGAUAGGAUUUCGCUCACAAAUAAGCCUUGUAAACAACCGUUAAUUUUAGAAUAAGUUGCCACGUGCUUCCCGUGAACGGUCAAUUAGGACGAAGCCGCCUCGCUCUGAUAUUAAGCGUAGCCGUCGAAAGCGGUCUGUGCGAAACAAUAGGCAGUGUUCAAGUCAUGGUGGAGUGUGUUCAUAUUCGCGUCGCAGCAGGACUCGUUCUCAUUCGUGUCACAAUAGUGUCGUGACGGGUCGCUUUCACGUCGCGUUAGGUUACGUUCGCGUCGCGUUAGGUCGCAUUCGCAUUCGCGCCAUGGUAGGUUAACCAUUGGGACGACUAUGAUUGCUUCUCUCGUGUGGAUAAUUGCCUAAGAAGUGACGCAAAAGCCUGGUUAAACGAGUGGGCUACUAACGAGCGUUCAUGGCCAAAUUUCGUUAAAGAGUUUAGGUUCAUGUGUCCGCAAAAGGUGAACUACGCGCAAAUUCUCCACGAAGUUAUUAACUCGACGUCAGAAAAGUUUCUGUCAUACGCAGAAUACGCGCGUUGUUCGUUGCGUUUACGCCAUGUAAAAGGAUUAAGUGAAGAACUUAUGGUCCAAAUCGUGAUUUUUGGUAUUAGUGAUGUACAAGUGCGCGCCGAAGCAACUAACGCCGACUUAACGACAGAAAAUCUGGUCUCAUUUUUAGCCACGUAUGUUAAGUCUAUCCGCAAAUUAGAUAAUCGUUACCCUGAUAGCCUGAAAUUGUUCAAUUCUAGCUAAGCACUUAAUGUUUUUAUUUUUUAAUAUCAUCUGCGGUAGUAAACUACUUUCCUGGUCCACGCAGACCGAUUAACUGUUUAUUGAAGGGAAUAGGUGACAAAGAGUUUGUCGCUCGACAAAUAUAUGACUUUGACUAUCGAACUACGUAAUAUCUCGCUUGAAGUUGAUUUUCUCAUUGUACCUGCGUUGUAUAUGAAUACGCCGUUCAUAAUAGGGACAGACGUUCUCAAUCGUGAUGGCGUCACGUUUAUUCGCACGAAACGUGAACAAUACCUAACUCACACACCAGAUAGGGUACUAGUAGUGAAUGCUGUGAAUGCUGUGAAUGCUAACCAAUUUGACAGCAUAAAUACGCCUCUCGAAGGUGCGGAGUGUGCUAAGUUGAUGGCUGUCAUUAAAGAAUUCUCUCCGUUUUUAAUAUCCGGUACAGCAACUACAGCGGUGACUACGGAGGCUGGUAGUGUGCUUAUGUACAUUGACGACGUUCUUAUUGUAAGUAUGUCUAAUGACGACGGUAUUUCUCUAUUACGCGAUGUCUUGAAGAAUGACAGAAGCUGGAUUCUCUGUCAAUUUGCGAAAGUGUUCUUUCCUCACAACUAAAAUAGAGAACUUGGGUCGUGUUAUCAGUUAUGGUCAGGUUAGGCCGAGUCUGCAUAAAAUUGAAGCGUUGGUUAAUUCACCUACUCCAACUAACGUUAAGCAGGUACGUAAAGUUUAAGGUUUAGCUGGAUACUUCCGGCGUUAAAUUGAAGGCUACGGGACAAAAACCGCAUGUAUAUCGCGUCUCACUAAGAAAGACGUCAAAUUUGAAUGGGAACCCGAACAAGAUCAAGUCAAACAAGAGUUCUUAAAGCAAUUAACCAAAGAGCCUAUACUUGCGAUUUUGGACCCGAGCCUUCCCACUGAACUAAACACCUAGCGUCUAGCAGUGCAGGAUAUGGUGCCGUGCUUAUGCAGGCCCACACGGAUGGUAAUAAACGAGUGGUAGCCUAUUUUAGUAGGGUUACCCAGGGUUUGGAGCCCAAGUACCAUUCAUAUGAAUUAGAAACGUUGGCGGUCGUCGAGGCUCUGCAACAUUUUCGGCAUUACCUGGUUGGUAUAAGUUUUAAGAUAAUCACCGAUUGCAAUGCCUUGAAGGCCACCGAACGUAAGAAGGAUCUUCUUCCACGAGUUGCCCGCUGGUGGGUAUAUUUACCAGAUUGUAAUUUUACUUUUGAUUAUAGAAAAGGGGUUUUAAUGCAACAAGCUACGUGUUGAAGUAGGCAACAAAGGUUUCCAGUGGUCCGACGUGCUGUGGAGGAUACCUACAGCUCACUUUGGAGGAAUAUCUCCAAGCAAAGUACCAUGCAGACUUCACCACUGCAGUUACUGGUCGGUAUCGAUAUGUGAUCUGUGGAGUUACUGGUCAUCAGAUCGUUAGUGUGAGAUGUGGCAAUUACUAACUCUAUUCCCAAUCGGGAGGCUCUCUUAACUCUUCGCAGGUGGCGAGCUUCCGAACUGCUUGCAACCGGUCGAUGGUGCCGGGAUGCCUGCGUUAGCGGAAGUCGACGGUGGCCGCACGCCUUUGCUGUCGGAGACUUUGUUUGUGAGCAAGACUGCACAAAUCACCGGUGAACUGGACCCCGGCAUGCGUGGGCCUUACAAGGUUAUUCGCGCGCUACCGUGCCACCGCUACGAGUUAGAGCUACUAGCUGGUUCCUGAUGUUGUGGCAAGGCGAGUGGACGCCGGAUGCGUGCACAUUUUCCUUCGAGACUUGACUUUGUGGUGCUAAUGUGUUUAGACCACUUUGAGAACAUACAAGCGUAUGGGUCUCUGUUUUAAACUUUUGUUGUCCUAAUAUGUUUAGACCACUUGGAGAACAUGCAAAGGUAUGGGUCUCUGUUUCAUAUUUUUGUGGUGGUAAUGUGUUUAGGCCACUUAGAGAACAUGCAAAAUGUAUGGGUCUCUGUUUUAACAAAUUUUCGCUUAGGAGAGCACUAGGAGCCACUGUCGUUGUGACAGUGUAUUGCAAAUAUACUGAGUUUUAUCUUAAUUCGUGCUAAGUCUGAAGCUAUCUAAUUCUGUAAUAUUUGGUUUUUGAUUAGACCUUAUCUAUGUGCGCUUGAGUGCACGCUUGCGCACAUGGUUCUGGUAAUGGAGAAAUAGAGAUAAAUGUCAUUUUUCGUUCCUACAAUUCAAGAUAUACGCUUCAGGCUAUGACACGAAGCUAGGUAGAUUACUACAAGUUCCCUUACAGAGACUGCGCUAGACAAUUAUGAGCAGGUUGCAAGUGAUGCUGCGGUCGAGGACGCUGCACUGUCAGAAACGGCCAUCUUAGAAAAAAAAAAUCCCAACCAGCAAACCGGACGGAGUAUCAGGUUAUAAAAGAGGAGUGGAACAGCGGAUUGGGGGUAUUCUACGUUUGGCUCAGAUGUGACGGCCGUUUCGGUUGUAUUUAGCGGUUAUUCUCUGUAGGUAUUAGUUUCGGUCUUUAGUUGUGUUAAUUAUUAUUUUUGGUCAAUUAUUAUUUUAGUGUUGUAGUUAGUUAAAUCAUUUUGUAAGGAAUGGAACUUUAAUCAAAUCAAUAACAUAGAACGGCCCUUGAACUGGGCGCAGAUGGCUAAAUCAGCUGACUCCGAGACCGCCGAUCUCAUACGUAAGCUCGGAGAAGGUAAUUUAGACCCUAGACGAUACGUAUGUCAAAACGAUGUGCUCUAUUAUCGUUGUUCACCCCUUGGUGAGGAGCCGCGUUUGCCUUGUUAUAUACGUAAUAGUCACAGGCUUAGCUUACUGAGGGUAUUCCAUGACGAGCAUGAACAUAUCGGGGUUGACAACACUUAUGACCUAAUUUUAAAACACUUUUGGUUUCCCGGUUUAAUGCAAUUUGUUCGUAAAUAUACGACCCACUGGGUCUGGGUGCAUUUCUAAGAAACGUAUCCAAAGAGCCUCACGUCAACCCAUUACAUCAUGGGAAAAGUACGGUGCCCUGAGAGUUGUGCCGCAUUUUUCGAAAGUAAGUUUCAACCCCGUUACUAAUAUGUUAUUUCCUUAUGUUAAAGAUGCGCGCGUGAUAUGUUGCCUUGCGUGCGAGUGUGAGGCAACUAUGUGCCUUGCUGGUUGAAACGGACUGCCAAUGUGGUGCGGUCAUGGUGUGUUCCUGGGGCCAGCAACCUUGAGAAGCGGGCCUCGGCAGACGUGCAUCCUGUGCGCGUGGCGGGCGCUGUCCCGGAAGAUGUGUUCUUUGAAUACAUAUCAAGCGCAGUCCUAGCAGCCUUAGGGCUGGUGCUCUUUUGAGAGUGUUACGGGCGCUGUCCCGAUUGCGAUGACGAAUACCCCGAUGACGUUAGUGAGCCUUCAGCUGCGUGUGCUAGUCCUGCUGCUUCCUCAAGAACACUCGAACCACAUAUGGGUGAACAUGGUGACCAAGAUACCGUCAUGCCUUCCACCAGUUCUUCCAAAGAAGAGAUCAACAGUGCAUCCGAGGACGGUGCACAGUCAGGAGAGGCCGUAUAAGCAGAAAUUGCAGUAGGUAGUUUCGAUACCCAGCCGCCUUUUAUAAAAGAAAGGUCUCAAUGUGCGGGGGGCUCAUUUGUUGCUCGGACGUAAACGAGUAAGGUGGUUGGUAUCGAGGCCGCAUACUGUGAGUUCGUUCUAUGUUAUUUUUAUUCGGUGGUUUCUGUGUAAUAGUUUUAAGGUUAACGGUUGUUUUUAAAAUACCCAAAGUCGUGUUGUUUUGAUUGUAUAAGAUUAAUUUUAAGAUAGAUUUAGUGUGAUUUCGAAUAUACCGUGUUUUGUUCUUUGAUAAAGUUAUUUUUGGUUAAA